rnacentral:rRNA from 1 species
CAGACUCCUACGGGAGGCAGCAGUGGGGAAUAUUGGGCAAUGGGCGAAAGCCUGACCCAGCAACGCCGCGUGAAGGAAGAAGGCCCUCGGGUGUAAACUUCUUUUGUCAGGGACGAAGCAAGUGACGGUACCUGACGAAUAAGCCACGGCUAACUACGUGCCAGCAGCCGCGUAAUACGUAGGUGGCAAGCGUUAUCCGGAUUUACUGGGGUAAAGGGCGUGUAGGCGGGAGUGCAAGUCAGAUGUGAAAACUAUGGGCUCAACCCAUAGCCUGCAUUUGAAACUGUACUUCUUGAGUGAUGGAGAGGCAGGCGGAAUUCCCUGUGUAGCGGUGAAAUGCGUAGAUAUAGGGAGGAA